AUCCCGGCCAUGAAAGCCUUGGCGAAUAUAUUGUAGCUUUAGUUACUUUAAAAAAAUUAAAUAUUAAGGGCAUCUCUCAAAUAACAGAGAAGUAUUUUAUUGUUACCCACAGUUAAUCUUCAUUACAAAAUCAAAAGAAAGUAUGAUAAUUGGUUGCAAGUUACCUUUGUACUCCAAGCCACAUUCAGAUUUAUCUUAAUAAUACAGUAGUAAGAUGUCCCAUCAACCCCAAAAUGUGUGUGUGGUUACAGAAUUCAUGUCCUUAAUGCUGAUUACUUGUAUUAUCUGACUUUUUUUAAAACCUCAAUAUGUUAUCAUUGGCUGGGACAAAAACAAAAAGCAUCUCAAGGUAUCUUCUAUUUUUGCAUUUGUAUUUUAUAUUGUAUUGACCACACAACUAGCUUGUCUCUCAUCUCAAAAGUGGCGCUCCUUUGAAUUUAGUGGAAUCCUAUUUCCAAAUUAAAUAACUGUUUUUAUUGUCCCAGAUGGGUUCUCUUCUUUGUCAUUUUUUUAAAGGUGUUCUGGAGUUCUUAAAUGUCACUGGGGAAGAAAGGAGAGACGUCAAGCUGGUCAUUUACAUGAGAACGCAUCUGCACCAGCAUUGCUCAGGCAAGGGAACUUGACUGCGCCAAGCCUAUACCUACAACUCGUUCUAAGCAUGUGUGCAUGCAACCUUAAGAGUAAGUUCUGUCAAGAAAAAAUUGGAUGGAGGAGAGUGGUGAAGGGGAGGAUUCAACAAGGAAAUCAUGCCAUUAUGUGUACUUUCUACUUGUUCAGCGUGGCCAAAACACAUGUCAAAACACGUGGAUCAUUUUGCCGUAGCAUCAAAUUUGCCUCUUGGAUUUCCCAGAAGCAAAAAAUUAAGGACCAACUUCUGCACAUUAAGUUGCCUUUACGUGGAGGCCAUUUUCAGAGGCUAUUGCCCUCAGCUUCUCGUGCCAUUUCUGCUGUUUCUUAAUGUAGCACUGGUUUGACUUCAGAUUCUCCAGAAUAAUAACACUGUUGCCGUGCCUGAGGCUUGGUAUAUAUACACUUAAAACCAAACCUCUUGGCAAAUUUGUAUGAACUGGAAACAAAGACCUGUAAUCUCAGCUGUAGGCAGACGCUAAGUGUUCUGCCUGCAAUGACAGUAAAAGUUCUGUGGUAAAAUA